GCUAAUUUAAGCAUCAGCUAAAGCAACACAGCAACGUAAAACUCCGGCCGCUGCUGCCACUGAUGCUUGGACUCAUCGGGAGAGAGUGCUGUUAUCUCACCCAGUAAUGAUGAACAUCAAUACAAGCAACGAGUGUUAUCUGAUGGUGUAGUUAUGCAGAGCUGCCACCUCCCCCCAGCACAGCGGCAGUCGUGUAAACAGACAGCGCUCUAGAGGAAUGCUGGACUCUGUGACCUCCCGCCCCGAGUGCUGUUACAGUGCACUGAGUUCAGCUGAAACAACCCGCCCCAUGCUGCGCCUCCCCAAAGCUCCGCCUCGCCCUACCCCAGCCUGAGGCCCCACAGGGUGGAAAAAAAAUACACCUCUUUUACCCAACACCAUGGCCUCCUCGCAUACAUGCACAUACGCAAACAUGAACACACACAUACAGAGAGACAGACAGACAAAUACUCCAGUGCUCCCUUUCUUUACCACCACCCAGCUGUCAGAGCAGCAAGCUUUUGUAAUUCGACAGCUUCUAGCCAUUGUCAUUUAAAGAUGUCUUGAAAAUCAGUUUAAUGCACUUAGCCCUUCACCCUUCAUCUCAUCUUGUAAAGAAUUAUGCGAAUUGUAGGUGAAAAUAUUUUGUGAGCUUUAGUUUUCAGUGAAAACACAGAAUUUCAGUUUAUUGUAAUUUAACUUGUGUCUGGCACUAGCUGCUUACUCAAUCUUCUUGUUAGUAGUGAACAUUUGCCAACCUCUUGAUGUGCCGGUGUACUCUGCUUGAUUGUGGGUGGAAAAUAAAAGCACAGGUUUUUAAUCACUUUUUGUAUAAAUAAGGCAACAGCCAGUGCAUGUUUUCUGAGAUAUUAAACUAUGUCACUGCUUAAAAUAAUCAGUCAGUGGAAUGUUUGGGAGAAGCAUACUAUGGUGUCAGGCAGACACUGCCCUCUGCUGGAGUGCAGAGAAAGGGCAGGUCAAUGGGGAUGGAUGAUGGAAGAUGUGGGUUUGUGAAGUCACACAGACUUCAGCUUUUACAAAGUACCAAGAAACAGAUGCAAGGCAGAGACACUGAAAUCUAGGACUGAUAGAUAUUCAAUGCACUUCUCAAAUUGUUACAUGCCAGCUGUAACCCCAUUCAUACCUCAUGAAUAAAUCAAGCAAGUCA